rnacentral:misc_RNA from 1 species
CAUCGUUGCGCUCGGUCUGUGUUACGUUCAGCGGCGCGCAUCUGUCAAACGCUACGAUAUCGAUACAAAUCUUGCGUUUUUCAUAAAGUGUGACAUGUCGGGAUAGUUGAUCGAUAUCCCCGAGAGAGCUAUGGCGCGCACCGUGCUGGCGGGAGGCGCGCUGCUCUGCGUGCUCAGCCUCGUGCUGCAAGCGCGCGCGCUCACCUUGCUGCCGCACGACGUGCGCCCCGGCCACGCCGUCAGACACUUCAUAGGCAAUCAUUCAAGAUACACACUUUUAGAUCCAGAGUUUGCACCGUACUUCACUCUCCUUGAUGACGGCCUACUCAUGACCACCGCAGAUUUAACGCCACUACUCGAUCAACCCGUAAAUCUGGCCAUUCUUGAGCAAACUCCUUACAGUAGUUCCGCUCAUGCCAUUCAUCUUCUAGUAAUGGAUCGCCGGCGAAUGUUACAUUUCACCGCGACUAACGGGUUAAUAGGAGAAAUUUCAGAAAACGCGCCACCGGGUACUGUUGUUGAUCUACAACCUAUAAGAGCUAUGGCCCUAAUGGAUGUAGGUCCAAUAGCUUAUAAAAUCAUUAAAGGAAACGAAGAUUCAAUAUUUUCUUUAAGGCAGAAAGGAAAAACCGAAACGAAUCCGGAGGUAAAGUCUGUUGUAACGGAUGGCGACGUGGAAAUGAUCGCUACUAAACCUUUAGAUGCUGAAGAAAAGAAUUUGUAUGAAAUUGUCAUUCAAGCUACAGACAUUCACGGAGCGAAUAAAGCCAAUCUCGCUGUUCGAAUAGACGUGGCUAACGAAAAUGAUCAUGAGCCGCGUUUUGACCAAGACAUCUAUUAUUUUGCUGUAAAUGGAACUGCUGACGAGAAUGGUCCAAAUGGCACAGCACGCUGGCAGAGAUUCUCAAACAUUGGACAAGUCCAGGCAUACGAUGCUGAUGGAGAUCGAGUGUACUAUUCUUUGCAAACACCUAGUAACUUGGCUGUCAUAGUACCUCAGACAGGAGAGUUAAUAUUGGCAGGCGAGCCUGAUGGCCAUGAAGCUGAGUUAAAAGUGAUUGCACAUGAUACUGGCUUUCCACAACGAAAGAGUCGACCUGCACGAGUCUUCUUGGAGUUCAUUGUUAGAGAUCAAAGAGAUUUACCAGUUCUUCAUCGUGAGAAACGUCGCGUUACAAGGGCUGUUAGGCCGACGAAAAGGAUUGAAUUUACGGAAGCCGAUGGUGAAGUAGAAGGUCGUGCUGUUUUCACGUUAGAAAAAGAGACUGAUCGCGAGACAUUUAAAAUUCGGGACGAAAAUCCGUGGGUUACCGUUGAACCAAGUGGUGUAGUGAAAGUUAAAAAGAAGUGGGACUAUGAGGAAUUGGGACCAGAGAAGACCAUUGACUUCUGGGUGACCAUCACCAACGCCGGAAAUGGAGUUGCGCUCAAAUAUACUGACAACCAGCGAGUGAUAAUCCAUGUGAAAGACGUGAAUGAUGAGCCUCCUUACUUCAUCAACCGGCCUCUGCCGAUGCAGACAGUGGUGCAGCUUAAUGCUGCUCCCAACACCCCAGUCUUCACUCUCCAAGCCAGGGAUCCUGAUACAGACCACAAUAUCCAUUACUUCAUCGUCAGAGAUAGAACCGGUGGACGGUUUGAGGUUGAUGAGCGAUCAGGCGUGGUACGCACCAGAGGAACCGAUCCGUUCCAACUCGAUAUGGAAUAUGUUUUAUACGUGAAGGCUGAGGACCAGAACGGACGUGUGGACGAGAGGAGGUUCCAAUCCACGCCCGAGGAGCGACUAAGUAUUGUAGGUGGCAAGCGCGCCCCUCAGUUUUACCUGCCAAGCUAUGAAGCCGAAAUCGCUGAGAACCAGAAGAAAGACUCAGACAUAAUAUCAGUGAAGGCCAAGUCGUUUGCUGACCGGGAGAUUCGCUACACCCUGAAAGCACAGGGCCAGGGUGCCGGCACCUUCAACAUUGGCCCAACUUCGGGCAUAGUAAAGCUGGCUAAAGAACUGGACUUUGAAGAUCUGCGACAGCCCCAUGUGUACUCCCUCGUGGUGACGGCAACCGAAGAUUCUGGAGGAUUCUCUACUUCUGUUGAGCUAACAAUUCGUGUGACCGACGUCAACGACAAUGCGCCUAAGUUCGAGCUGCCCGACUACCAAGCACAUAACGUGGACGAAGAUAUACCACUAGGCACCAGUAUCCUCAAGGUCAAAGCAAUGGACGCUGACUCGGGAAAGAACGCUGAAAUCGAAUACUUAGUUUCAGAUGACCACUUCAGCGUGGAUUCGAAUGGCAUUAUAACAAACAACAAGCAACUGGACGCUGACAACAACAAUGCGUACUAUGAGUUUGUAGUCACAGCCAAAGACAAGGGAGAACCAGCGAAAACUGGAACAGCUACCGUCAGGGUUUAUACCAAGAACAAGAACGAUGAAGAGCCAAAAUUCUCACAACAGGUGUACACUCCCAACGUCGAUGAGAAUGCUGGGCCCAACACUCUCGUGACGACUGUCGUCGCAUCAGACAAGGAUGGUGACAACGUAAGGUUUGGCUUCGUCGGCGGCGGCACGAGCUCAGGACAAUUCGUAAUCGAAGAAAUCACUGGUGUGAUCCGACUACACAACAAGGCUAUAUCGCUUGACAGAGACAAAUACGAACUCAAUGUGACGGCUAUGGACGACGGAGCCUGCUGCGUCAAUGGAGAUGCUACGAUACACACCUCCACAGCUGUCGUUGUCGUCUUUAUUACAGACGUCAACGAUAAUAAACCUAUAUUCAAAGAUUGUCCGACGUAUUUCCCAAAAGUAGAAGAAGGCGCUCCCAAUGGCAGUCCUGUUAUAAAAGUUCACGCUACUGACGAAGAUAAAGGUGUCAAUGGUCAAGUGAAAUAUUCAAUAGUACAGCAACCGAAUCAGAAAGGCACAAAGUUCACCGUAGACGAAGAAACUGGUGAGGUAUCAACAAACAAGGUAUUCGACAGAGAAGGUGAUGACGGCAAGUUUGUAUCUGUGACGGUAAAAGCAACUGAUCAAGGUGAACCUUCCCUAGAAGGUGUCUGCUCAUUUACCGUUGAGAUCACCGACGUUAACGACAAUCCUCCACUAUUCGACCGACAAAAAUAUGUGGAGAACGUAAAACAAGACGCCAGUAUAGGCACGAAUAUAUUGCGAGUAUCCGCAUCUGAUGAGGAUGCCGAUAAUAACGGCGCCAUCGUUUAUACUUUGAGCGCUCCCUAUAACCCCGCCGAUAUUGAGUAUUUUGAGAUCCAGCCCGAAUCGGGCUGGAUCGUGUUAAAGAAGCCUCUCGACCGGGACAGGUACCGACUGCGCGUGCGCGCCUCCGACAGGGGCGACCCGCCCUCCUCCGCAGACGUGGACGUUGAAUUAGACGUGGUAGACAGGAACAAUAAGCCCCCCAUCUGGGACAUGACCACGUAUGGCCCCGUUCACAUCAAAGAGAAUGUCACAGUGGGUACCGUAGUGACCAGUGUGAAAGCCAGCUCGGGUAUUGAGAACAACCCGACCGUGUUUUACCGACUGAUGCCCGGCUCCACGGCCCAGACUAACAAAUUCCACACAUUCUAUUUACAACAAAGGGCCGACAACGGAUUUACAUGGGCCGAUAUAAAAGUUAAUCAUCCACUCGACUAUGAGAGUAUUAAGGAAUAUAAUCUUACCAUCCGAGUCGAGAACAACGGCGCCCAACAACUGGCUUCAGAAGCGACGGUCUACAUCAUGCUUGAAGACGUGAAUGACGAAAUUCCACUGUUCACCGAACGGGAGCAGGAGACGGUGCUGGAAGGAGAGCCCAUCGGGACCAAGGUCACGCAGGUCAACGCCAUCGAUAAGGACGGCACCUUCCCCAACAAUCAGGUGUACUACUACAUUGUUGAUUCGCCGCGGAACGAGGGGAAGGACUUCUUCGAAAUCAGUAUGCAGACGGGAGAGAUCUUCACGAAAGUAGUGUUCGACAGAGAGAAGCAGGGGGCGUACGCGUUGGAGGUGGAGGCCCGGGACGGAGCACCCUCGGCGCGGCCCAACUCCGACAACCAGCCCAACUCAGUGACUAAAUUCAUCCGGAUCGGCAUCGCUGACAAGAAUGACAACCCGCCGUACUUCGACAAGGAGCUGUACGAGGCGGAGGUCGACGAGAAUGAGGACAUCCAGCACACCGUACUCACCGUCACCGCCAAAGAUCACGAUGAAUCGUCGCGUAUUCGAUACGAGAUCACGAGCGGGAACAUAGGAGGCGCCUUCGCCGUCAAGAACAUGACUGGCGCCAUCUACGUAGCAGGCGCGCUCGACUACGAAACCAGAAAACGGUACGAGCUGAAGCUGGCUGCGUCAGACAAUCUGAAGGAGAACUACACGACCGUGGUGAUCCACGUAAAGGAUGUGAACGACAACCCGCCCGUGUUCGAGCGGCCCACCUAUCGCACGCAGAUCACGGAGGAAGACGACCGCAAUCUGCCCAAGCGAGUGCUUCAGGUCACAGCCACGGAUGGCGACAAAGAUAGACAACAAAACAUUGUUUAUUUCCUCACCGGUCAGGGCAUCGAUCCUGACAAUCCAGCAAAUAGCAAAUUCGACAUCAAUCGUACAACGGGAGAAAUUUUCGUGCUCAAACCUUUGGAUCGAGAUCAGCCAAAUGGACGGCCGCAAUGGAGGUUCACAGUGUUUGCGCAAGAUGAAGGAGGUGAAGGUCUCGUGGGAUACGCAGAUGUUCAAGUCAAUCUUAAAGACAUUAAUGAUAAUGCUCCUAUUUUCCCUCAAGGCGUAUAUUUCGGUAAUGUCACAGAAAAUGGCACAGCUGGUAUGGUCGUUAUGACGAUGACAGCCAUCGACUAUGAUGAUCCCGCCGAAAGUAAUAAUGCAAAACUUUGGUAUUCUAUUGAGAAGAACGUUAUUGAAGAAGAAACUGGUUCUCCUAUAUUUGAAAUCGAACCUGAAACUGGAGUAAUAAAAACUGCAGUAUGCUGUCUCGAUCGUGAGAGGACGCCAGAUUACUCUAUUCAAAUAGUAGCAUCUGAUGGAGGGGGGUUAAAGGGUACCGGUACGGCCUCUAUAAGAGUAAAGGACAUUAACGAUAUGCCACCUCAAUUCACGAAAGAUGAAUGGUUUACGGAGGUAGAUGAAACUGAUGGAACUAAUUUACCUGAAAUGCCCAUCUUGACAGUCACUGUUCAUGAUGAGGAUGAAACGAACAAAUUUCAAUAUAAAGUUAUUGAAAAUAGUGGAUACGGUGCUGAUAAGUUUACUAUGGUUAGAAAUAAUGACGGCACAGGUUCGUUAAAAAUUGUACAGCCUUUAGAUUAUGAAGACCAAUUACAAAGUAAUGGCUUCAGAUUUAGGAUACAAGUUAAUGAUAAAGGAGAAGAUAAUGACAACGAUAAAUAUCAUGUAGCGUAUUCUUGGGUAGUUGUUAAACUAAGAGAUAUAAAUGACAAUAAACCUCAAUUUGAAAGAGCUAAUAUAGAAGUUUCAGUGUAUGAAAACGCUGAAGUUGGUAAAAGCUUAGAAACCUUUAAAGCAACUGAUCCAGAUCAAGGAGGGAAAAGUAAAGUUUCCUACGCUAUUGAUAGAUCAUCUGAUAGAAAGCGCCAAUUUUCGAUUAAUCAAGAAGGGACUGUAAGCAUACAACGCUCAUUAGACAGAGAGGAUACUCCCAGACACCAAGUUAAAAUUUUAGCUAUUGAUGACGGUGUACCACCAAGAACUGCGACAGCUACCUUAACGGUGAUAGUUCAAGAUAUUAAUGACAAUGCUCCAACAUUCCUCAAGGAUUAUAGACCGGUUUUGACAGAACACAUAACACCGAAAAAAGUAGCUGAAAUCUUAGCUACGGAUGAUGACGAUCGAUCAAAAAGUAAUGGACCUCCAUUCCAGUUUAGACUUGACCCUGGUGCGGAUGACAUUAUUCGCGCUUCCUUCAAAGUUGAACAAGAUCAGAAAGGAGCCAACGGUGAUGGUAUGGCUAUUGUAUCUUCUUUAAGAUCCUUCGACAGAGAACAACAGAAAGAAUAUCUCAUUCCUAUUAUUAUCAAAGAUCAUGGAAAUCCUGCCAUGACUGGUACUAGCACCUUAACUGUUGUUAUUGGUGAUGUGAAUGAUAAUAAGAUGCAACCCGGUUCCAAAGAAAUACUUGUGUACAGUUACCAAGGCCAAGCACCUGAUACAGAAAUUGGACGAGUAUAUGUUUAUGAUCUUGAUGAUUGGGAUCUGCCAGAUAAGAAAUUCUUCUGGGAAAGUUCAGAACAUCCAAACUUCACUUUAAAUGAAGAAACCGGAAUGAUACAAAUGAGACACAAGACAAGAGAAGGUAGAUACCAUCUGAAGUUUAAGGUGUAUGAUCGGAAACAUACACAAACAGAUGUACCUGCAAAUGUUACUGUGUAUGUGAAAGAAAUAUCACAUGAAGCGAUAAUAAAUUCUGGAUCAAUCCGAAUAUCAGGUAUAUCAGAUGAGGACUUCAUCAGGGUGUGGAACUAUAAAACACUUAGUGUUUCGAGGAGUAAAUUGGACAUCUUCAAAGAUAAAUUGGCUGACCUAUUAAAUACCGAGCGUGAAAAUAUCGAUAUCUUCAGUGUUCAACUCAGGAAGAAACACCCACCAGUAACUGACAUUCGCUUUUCAGCUCAUGGAGCGCAUUACUAUAAACCUAUUCGAUUAAACGGUAUUGUACUCAUGCACCGAGAAGAAAUAGAAAGGGCUGUUGGAAUAAAUAUCACUAUGGUUGGUAUUGACGAAUGUUUAUAUGAAAAUCAAAUGUGUGAAGGAUCAUGUACGAACGUUUUAGAUAUUAGCAAUUUACCUUACAUGGUUAAUGCUAAUAAAACUGCGCUCGUUGGCGUCCGAGUGGAUGUGAUUGCUGAGUGCACAUGUGGUGCUCGAAACUUUACUCAAGCAGAAACAUGCCGUAACUCUCCAUGUUACAACGGAGGUAGAUGCAUAGAGGGCAAAUAUGGCUUGACAUGCUCUUGUCCUCCUGGCUACACGGGACCAAGAUGUCAGCAAACGUCUAGAAGCUUCAGAGGCACAGGUUGGGCUUGGUACCCUGCUUUAGAAAUGUGUGAUAGUUCUCAUUUAAGCUUUGAAUUCAUAACAAGGAAGUCGGAAGGAGUGUUAUUGUAUAAUGGUCCGAUUGUACCACCUGAACCAGAAGAAAUUAUGGUAUCUGAUUUCAUAUCUGUAGAGUUGGAAAGAGGCAAUCCUAGACUACUAAUAGAUUUUGGUUCUGGCACUCUAGAGCUACGAGUAAAGACAAAGAAAUCAUUAGAUGAUGGUGAAUGGCAUAGAAUUGAUAUUUUCUGGGACACAGAAAACGUCAGGAUGAUUGUUGACUUCUGUAAAUCUGCCGACAUUCAAGAAAUGGAAGAUGGUACGCCACCAGAGUUUGAUGACUCCACUUGCCAAGCCACUGGCACCAUACCGCCUUUCAAUGAGUACCUCAAUGUUAAUGCACCACUCCAGAUUGGUGGUUUGUACAUAGAACACUUUGAUCCGACUCACUAUCACUGGCAAUACAUGCCCAUCGGCAAAGGAUUUGACGGAUGCAUACGGAACUUAAUUCAUAACAGCAAGCUCUACGACUUAGCUCAUCCAGGACUAUCUCGUAAUUCAGUCGCAGGAUGUCCUCAAACAGACGAGAUAUGCAAUCAAGCAGACACUACUUCGAGAUGUUGGGAGCAUGGCACCUGCGUAGGCAGUUUCUCCGAAGCCAGAUGUCAGUGCCAGCCAGGCUGGACCGGCCCUUCAUGUAACUUACCUACUACGCCUACCAGUUUUCGACCUCAAAGCUACGUGAAAUUUGCCCUGAGUUUCGAACCAGAUAGAUUCAGUACGCAAAUCCAACUGCGAUUCAGGACUCGUGAACCACAUGGUGAACUAUUCAGAGUGAGUGAUCAACACAAUCGGGAGUACGGUAUCCUUGAAGUGAAAGAAUCGCGGUUACACUUCCGAUAUAAUCUAAAUUCACUCCGUACCGAGGAACGCGAUGUUUGGCUGAACUCAGUCGCAGUCGAUGACGGCCAGUGGCACAUUGCCCGUGUCAGCCGCUACGGAAGUGCUGCGAUGCUUGAAAUAGAUGGCGGUGAGGGAAGGAGAUACAACGAAACAUUCUACUUCGAAGGCCAUCAGUGGCUCUUAGUAGACAAGCAAGAAGGUGUCUACGCGGGUGGUAAAGCUGAAUAUACAGGGGUCAGAACCUUUGAAGUGUAUGCGGACUUCCAGAAGGGAUGUUUAGAUGACAUUAGGUUAGAAGGCAAGCACCUGCCGCUACCGCCGGCGAUGAAUGGUACGCAGUGGGGGCAGGCUACGAUGGCCAGGAACUUGGACCGCAACUGCCCGUCGAACAGCCCCUGCAUCAACGUGCACUGCACCGAGCCCUUCGUCUGCGUUGAUCUUUGGAAUGAAUAUGAGUGCACUCCUGGUGUUAGUGUUCGUGGUGUACAACCGACGCCGGGAGGCGCACAUCAAGUACCCUGGACCUGAUGAUGACGUCCGCGAGAACAUCAUCAACUACGAUGACGAGGGAGGCGGGGAGGACGACAUGACAGCCUUCGACAUCACGCCGCUUCAGAUACCCAUCGGCGGACCCUUACCUGAUCAUGCACCCGCGAAGUUGCCAUAUCCCGUGAUGAGCCUGGGCCUGGGAGUGGGUCCGAUGGGCGUGGGCGUCGGCGUGCCGCCGGGCGUGGGCGUGGGCGUGCCGCUGCCGGGCGAGACCAACGUGGGCAUGUUCAUCGAGGAGCACAAGCGGCGCGCCGACAGCGACCCCAACGCGCCGCCAUUCGACGACCUGCGCAACUACGCGUACGAGGGCGGCGGCAGCACCGCCGGAUCGCUCUCCUCGCUCGCUUCCGGUACCGACGACGAGACGCACGAGUACGACUACCUGGGCGCGUGGGGCCCGCGGUUCAACAAGCUGGCCGACUUGUACGGGCCGGACCUGGACGAGCAGCUGUAGGCGCCGCGCACACCCCGCCGCUAAUUUAGUCAAUUGUCUCCCACAAUCGUACCACUAAGCCUCUGUAACCCUGCUAUCUCGGGGCGACACUCGCUCACUCGCCCACUUUCGUUUUGUACAUAAACAAGCGCGCGAGCUGCCGUCUCGGCCCGGCGGCACCGCGCCGUCACCGCGCCCACUGCGCGCCGGCCGGUGGCACGAGUCGGGACGCGCGGCGCUUGCUCGCGCCACAUGUAACUCUUAUCAAUUUUAUACGACUUUAUUUAUUGUGGUAGAUAUGUUAAGCUUAAGUAAUCGUUUAAGAUACCUAUUUAAUUGCGUAAUUUUUAUAAAGUUUGAACUACAUCUUCACCAAAUAUUUGAUAUAAGUUUUUAUUCGAAUUAGCCAUAUUAUGAGUCAGUAUUUUAUUGGAAGUUACGGAGAUAAAUAUAUUUCUGCGGCAGGGCCGGACGUGAAUCUGAACAGUGGGUGUUUGUAGAUAGUGUGCUAUAAAUGUGAAUAAUUUAUACGAGUAUUUUGUAAGUCCACAGCUUUACGUGAUAUCACAUAAUAUAGCGGCCCUCCCGCAGAAAUCAUUAUAGAAUAAAAGAAUAUGUUAUAUUUUAAUAAUGGUAGAUAACAUAAUACUUGAGGUGGUCCACUCGGGCGUCGUGAAACAUAAUGCUCAUUCGAUAUUAUGUGAAGUUUAAACAAUGGGGUUGUAAAUACAAUAACACUCUAGAAACAACUACCCCCGAUUUUAAUUAAACGUGAAACUAUUAAUUUAACUUUAACGUGUAAGCGAACUGUACAGUAACCGGUGUUCCUCUCCUAAUGUCUCCGUGUAGUGCUAGUUAAAUAGUAUUUGGAAACGACUACGGUCUACUCGUAACGUUAGGUAACUAAUAGUAGUCAUGGUCGCGGGAGUUUUCGUUUGCGUGUGAGCGUGAGAGCGUGUAUUUAUGAGUGUGUGAGAGCUGUAGGGAUGUGUGUGCGUGCGUGCGAGCGACAUUCGUCGAGCGUGGCUGAGCGCGCGCCGUGCCGCUGCCGUGCGGCUCCGUGCGUCCCGUGCGGCUCCGCGCGGCACUUCUGCGGCGCGCGCGGUUAUGAGUGGGACUGUGCCAAUUUCUUAGCAUUAUUGAUGCAGCUAAUGACGGUAGAGUUAAGUGUUUGCACUUUAUUUAUUCGUAUGAUUACAUAUAAAUUUAGUCGCACCUAGGAAAAUAUCAAUAACUUAUUAAGAGUGUUGUGCUAGAAUACUAUUUCCAUCGAUCUUGAUGUGAGAUAGUUGUUGAAACCUGUAGAAG